UGCUGUAGGCACGCUCUACAGUCAAGACUUCAUUCAAGAGGCCUGCGUAGAGGACACCCCAGCCACACCAGGUUCUCACUCCAGAUAUUACUCACCAGCGAAUGUCCACAAGCCUGAUGUGAUCUCACUGUGUCUUUCCCUGAGAACAAAUGUGGGAACACAGCCUUCUCAAUACCAUAGCUCACUAAUCCACCAGAAACAUGCAGAAUGGCAGAUGGACUUUCCAAAGAGAGAAAUGAGCUGUGUUCAAUGAUUACUUAUAAACAGUUGUGAAGAUAA